rnacentral:rRNA from 1 species
UGCAAGUCGAACGAACUCUGGUAUUGAUUGGUGCUUGCAUCAUGAUUUACAUUUGAGUGAGUGGCGAACUCGGUGAGUAACACGUGGGAAACCUGCCCAGAAGCGGGGGAUAACACCUGGAAACAGAUGCUAAUACCGCAUAACAACUUGGACCGCAUGGUCCGAGUUUGAAAGAUGGCUUCGGCUAUCACUUUUGGAUGGUCCCGCGGCGUAUUAGCUAGAUGGUGGGGUAACGGCUCACCAUGGCAAUGAUACGUAGCCGACCUGAGAGGGUAAUCGGCCACAUUGGGACUGAGACACGGCCCAAACUCCUACGGGAGGCAGCAGUAGGGAAUCUUCCACAAUGGACGAAAGUCUGAUGGAGCAACGCCGCGUGAGUGAAGAAGGGUUUCGGCUCGUAAAACUCUGUUGUUAAAGAAGAACAUAUCUGAGAGUAACUGUUCAGGUAUUGACGGUAUUUAACCAGAAAGCCACGGCUAACUACGUGCCAGCAGCCGCGGUAAUACGUAGGUGGCAAGCGUUGUCCGGAUUUAUUGGGCGUAAAGCGAGCGCAGGCGGUUUUUUAAGUCUGAUGUGAAAGCCUUCGGCUCAACCGAAGAAGUGCAUCGGAAACUGGGAAACUUGAGUGCAGAAGAGGACAGUGGAACUCCAUGUGUAGCGGUGAAAUGCGUAGAUAUAUGGAAGAACACCAGUGGCGAAGGCGGCUGUCUGGUCUGUAACUGACGCUGAGGCUCGAAAGUAUGGGUAGCAAACAGGAUUAGAUACCCUGGUAGUCCAUACCGUAAACGAUGAAUGCUAAGUGUUGGAGGGUUUCCGCCCUUCAGUGCUGCAGCUAACGCAUUAAGCAUUCCGCCUGGGGAGUACGGCCGCAAGGCUGAAACUCAAAGGAAUUGACGGGGGCCCGCACAAGCGGUGGAGCAUGUGGUUUAAUUCGAAGCUACGCGAAGAACCUUACCAGGUCUUGACAUACUAUGCAAAUCUAAGAGAUUAGACGUUCCCUUCGGGGACAUGGAUACAGGUGGUGCAUGGUUGUCGUCAGCUCGUGUCGUGAGAUGUUGGGUUAAGUCCCGCAACGAGCGCAACCCUUAUUAUCAGUUGCCAGCAUUAAGUUGGGCACUCUGGUGAGACUGCCGGUGACAAACCGGAGGAAGGUGGGGAUGACGUCAAAUCAUCAUGCCCCUUAUGACCUGGGCUACACACGUGCUACAAUGGAUGGUACAACGAGUUGCGAACUCGCGAGAGUAAGCUAAUCUCUUAAAGCCAUUCUCAGUUCGGAUUGUAGGCUGCAACUCGCCUACAUGAAGUCGGAAUCGCUAGUAAUCGCGGAUCAGCAUGCCGCGGUGAAUACGUUCCCGGGCCUUGUACACACCGCCCGUCACACCAUGAGAGUUUGUAACACCCAAAGUCGGUGGGGUAACCUUUUAGGAACCAGCCG